UGUGAGCUCGAUGAGUAGGGCGGGACACGUGGUAUCCUGUCUGAAUAUGGGGGGACCAUCCUCCAAGGCUAAAUACUCCUGACUGACCGAUAGUGAACCAGUACCGUGAGGGAAAGGCGAAAAGAACCCCGGCGAGGGGAGUGAAAAAGAACCUGAAACCGUGUACGUACAAGCAGUGGGAGCACCCUUUGGGGUGUGACUGCGUACCUUUUGUAUAAUGGGUCAGCGACUUAUAUUCUGUAGCAAGGUUAACCGUAUAGGGGAGCCGCAGGGAAACCGAGUCUUAACCGGGCGUUAAGUUGCAGGGUAUAGACCCGAAACCCGGUGAUCUAGCCAUGGGCAGGUUGAAGGUUGGGUAACACUAACUGGAGGACCGAACCGACUAAUGUUGAAAAAUUAGCGGAUGACCUGUGGCUGGGGGUGAAAGGCCAAUCAAACCGGGAGAUAGCUGGUUCUCCCCGAAAGCUAUUUAGGUAGCGCCUCGUGAAUUCAUCUCCGGGGGUAGAGCACUGUUUCGGCUAGGGGGCCAUCCCGGCUUACCAACCCGAUGCAAACUGCGAAUACCGGAGAAUGUUAUCACGGGAGACACACGGCGGGUGCUAACGUCCGUCGUGAAGAGGGAAACAACCCAGACCGCCAGCUAAGGUCCCAAAGUCAUGGUUAAGUGGGAAACGAUGUGGGAAGGCCCAGACAGCCAGGAUGUUGGCUUAGAAGCAGCCAUCAUUUAAAGAAAGCGUAAUAGCUCACUGGUCGAGUCGGCCUGCGCGGAAGAUGUAACGGGGCUAAACCAUGCAC
rnacentral:rRNA from 1 species